UGACGACCGGCGCACGGGUGAGUAACACGUAUCCAACCUACCCCCCUUACAGGGAUAGCCUUUCGAAAGAAAGAUUAAUACCCGAUCUUAUAGCGAUAAGGCAUCUUAUUGCUAUUAAAGAAUUUCGGUGUUUGAUGGGGAUGCGUUCCAUUAGAUUGUUGGUGAGGUAACGGCUCACCAAGUCUUCGAUGGAUAGGGGUUCUGAGAGGAAGGUCCCCCACAUUGGAACUGAGACACGGUCCAAACUCCUACGGGAGGCAGCAGUGAGGAAUAUUGGUCAAUGGACGAGAGUCUGAACCAGCCAAGUAGCGUGAAGGAUGAAGGCCCUAUGGGUCGUAAACUUCUUUUAUAGGGGAAUAAAGUGCGGAACGUGUUCCGUUUUGUAUGUACCCUACGAAUAAGGAUCGGCUAACUCCGUGCCAGCAGCCGCGGUAAUACGGAGGAUCCGAGCGUUAUCCGGAUUUAUUGGGUUUAAAGGGAGCGUAGGUGGACGUAUAAGUCAGUUGUGAAAGUUUGCGGCUCAACCGUAAAAUUGCAGUUGAUACUGUAUGUCUUGAGUGUACAAGAGGUGGGCGGAAUUCGUGGUGUAGCGGUGAAAUGCUUAGAUAUCACGAAGAACUCCGAUUG
rnacentral:rRNA from 1 species